GAUGAAGAACGCAGCGAAAUGCGAUAAGUAAUGUGAAUUGCAGAAUUCAGUGAAUCAUCGAAUCUUUGAACGCACCUUGCACCCUUUGGCAUUCCGAAGGGUAUGCUCGUUUGAGUGUCAUUGUACUCUCACACUUCUGAUCCUUUGGAUUGGGAGCGGUGGACUUGGGUGUUGCUGCUUUACUGUGGCUCACCUCAAAUGUAUUCGUGCAACUCUUGGUUGGACAUAGUACGGCGUGAUAAGUAUCUUCGCCGGCACCUCGCAAGAGGGUGGCUGAUCAGGAGCUCUGUGCUUUCCAACUGUCUUCAGACAACAACUGACAACUUGACCUCAAAUCGAGUAGGACCACCCGCUGAACUUAAGCAUAUCAAUAAGCGGAGGA
rnacentral:misc_RNA from 1 species